GGGGGCAUAGUCCCCCCGCCUUAAUGCGGCUUCCGAACGGGAACUGUUGCAAGCCAGUACAAACGCAGAGCAGGGA
rnacentral:ribozyme from 1 species